CCUUGAAAUCAUGUGAUCAUGUCUAAUCCUACUUUAUCUCAACAAAAGGUUCGUCAAGGUAACCAUAGAUCUUGGUCCAAAUCGGGCCAGAUCCAUCAGUGGAGGAACUUAGGCACUUGCAAUAAGGUAGCUCACAUUGGGCCCAGCCCAAGGGCCAGGGAAUUAAGGCUCUUAUAAUAAGGUAGCCCAUAUUGGGCCCGGUCAUUGAGCCAAAUUUUGGGGCCAUGGCCAUGUCUUUUUUAAGGCAAGGGCCGUGUUAGGCCAUCCCUCACAUCGCGAGCCCCAUCGGAAGCCUAAGGAUUGAAGAAAAAAACACUAAGUACAUAUGAUAUACUGCCACCGGAUCACACUAUACACCUACUUCCAUACGGCGACUGGAUCACACCAUACACCUACUUCCUCCAGCAAAAGACCUAUAUAAAAGGAUUUUCAUGAUGCAAAAAAUUUAAAGCGUGUCCUAGAAGGGAAAUGUUUUUUUUGUGACCCCAACAACAUAUAAGUAAGAUGUGAUCCCAUUUCUUAACCAUUCGAUCUGAAAAUCAAAUGGCUACAAUUGGUCAUACCCCAAUGUCGCGCCAAACACUGUUUUAUUUUUCAUUUUUUUUAUAAAAUAUUUUGAGAUGGAAUUUUGGAUGUCCCAUCAUAAAAUUAAGAUGAACCUGAGAAAAGAAAAAAAAUAAAUAAUUUUUAUAAAAAUAAAUGACCAAAAUACCCUAAAAUUUUUAAGGCUAUUCUUGUAAUUUAUAUCAUAAAAAAUAUCUUAUUAUUAUUUUUACCAUGCACUCCCCUAUCAAAUCUAUGCAUUCCCCAAAAUUUGUUUUAAUUGAUUUAUAAAAUACAAACUAAAAAUAGAAAACUCUGAGCCGGAUCAAGAUCUCACACUUUGUGACAUUGUGACUCAAGUCUUCCCCUCCUAGAAUACCAGAUAAAAAAGAAACCAUGCUCAGUUUUAUUUUCUUUUUUCUUGAUGGUCGAUCAUUAGGCUCUUCAUCCUUAAAAUUACGGGCCCAAAAAAUAAUCUAAGACCAGGCUUCGCACUUCAACAAAUUUGACCGGUCCAUUUUAAAAAGGACAAUAGUUUCAUGCGGGCUGGACCGCAUUUCUACAUAUACGGUCCAAAAAGUGUAAAACAUCCCUAUUUAAGAUGGAUGCAAACAAG
rnacentral:lncRNA from 1 species